GGGGCCACUGGCACUGGAAGCCCAACAGCAACAAGAGGAGGAGCUGAUGCAACCACCACUGUCUCUGCUAGUGAGAACACAUCUGGAACCACAGGCACACCUGGAGCAUCAUCUGGAACAACCCCUGAAGCUCAAGGUGGUAGCACACCUAGAGAGGCAGGGACUGCAGCCACUGGUUCAGGUACAUUUGAACCAGGAGUUGACAAAACAACCAGAGCCUCAAACAAUGAAGUGACAUCACCUGAAGGGAACUCAGG